rnacentral:rRNA from 1 species
UACAUGGGGUGCAAACGUUUGCUCGGAAUCAUUGGGCGUAAAGCGCGCGUAGGCGGUUACUUAUGUCGGAUGUGAAAGCCCUCGGCUUAACUGAGGAAGUGCAUUCGAAACUGGGUAGCUAGAGUACUAAAGAGGGUCGCGGAAUUCCCGGUGUAGAGGUGAAAUUCGUAGAUAUCGGGAGGAACACCGGUGGCGAAGGCGGCGACCUGGGGUAGAUACUGACGCUGAGGCGGCGAAAGCGGUGGGGAGCAAACAGG